CAAACAUAAACACUUUAGGCUCUCUAUCGACAUCUGUAGUUGAAACUUAAAAUUGCCUGUUAAAGUUCAUAAAGUAACAUGCAGAGGAUUUUAUAUAAACUGUGCUUUAAGCUCUGCUCUUCUGUUGGGAUAAAUCGGAUGGUUUGAUGUGCAAAGCACAGCUAGGCCCACCUUUGUACCUUAUCACCCCCUACAUAAUAUGCACAUUUUAUGUAUCGCCUGAAAAAGUAAGCAGCAGAUCUGCAUGAUGUAGAAGACAUGACGUAAACACGCAAAGACGUCACACAAAAUAGGCGCCAUUCACACAUGCAAUGAAUUGGUGCAGGGCCAAGAAAGGAUUUUAAGUUUUAGGGCGAUUACAAACAUCUGUAGAUUAGUAAAAGUUGAAUAGAUGUGAAUUUCCAAGGACAAGAAUCAGAUACAUCGACUUUUGAGUGUACACCAUUAACUGAUCGACGACAGUUUUAGUUGCCUCUCCGACAUCUCCGUCACUGAAGCCAUGAGUGUGACAGAAGUAGAAAACAGAGGAGGGAUUCGCCCUGAAGCUGGUUUUGAUAAUACAAACACAUCUGGAGUUUCCGUUCAGUAUGUGGACAACCAAGAAGGGAUUUCUGAAGGCACAUUUGAGCAGGAUAAUAUAUUAAUCGAGCCUACUGUAGAGCUUUCAGUGCAAUGCAUGGAGAACCAGAGAGGCCUUCAUGGGCAAAUUUUGUAUGAUGAUGUGUCAUACCCCAUCCAUCUCCAUCCUCAGGCUGAGCCAGAUAUUGAUGAUGAAGGCAUUGUAGUUGACAUGGAAGAAGAUGAAGGACAGGAAUUGCACUAAUGUGUAUUUGAUGCGACGAAAGGUUUAGCACCUCUAAGUUAUGAAGUUAACAUGGAAUGAGAUAAGAACGAGAUUGAUUCCGGGGACUGACUUUGAUUAUCCAUGUUAAAUAGUGUGGAAACUAAAUAUUUCACAGGCACUUUUUUUUAAGGUAAUGUGUUCAAACUGAAAUGAAGGAAAGUAAGGAAGGACAAAUAUUACUGCCCACUAAAUUAUAGCUAUAAAUCAAGUUUAUGUAAUUAGAUUUUGUUUUAUAAACAAAAUGCUUAUAAACAGUAUUUGUUUGAGUGUUGAACAAUGACAGAAGAGAAGACAUUACUUCUGUUGCCAAAAUUGUUUUCUUAAUAUGAAUCAAACUUUUGGAACUUCUUGUAAGGGGAAGUUGUUAUAAUAUUAGUUUUGUCUGUUGCUAUGUGUUAUGUGAGUAUGCUGCUAAAAGAUGACUGAAUAAACGUUCAACACUUU
rnacentral:lncRNA from 1 species